GGUGCUGUGGCUUAGUGGGUAAAGCCAUUGCCUGCAGUGCAUAUGGGCACUGGUUCCAGUCUGCUCCA
rnacentral:tRNA from 1 species